AGUGAACGCUGGCGGUAGGCCUAACACAUGCAAGUCGAACGGCAGCACAGGAGAGCUUGCUCUCUGGGUGGCGAGUGGCGGACGGGUGGGGAAUACAUCGGAAUCUACUCUGUCGUGGGGGAUAACGUAGGGACACUUACGCUAAUACCGCAUACGACCUACGGGUGAAAGCAGGGGAUCUUCGGACCUUGCGGGAUUGAAUGAGCCGAUGUCGGAUUAGCUAGUUGGCGGGGUAAAGGCCCACCAAGGCGACGAUCCGUAGCUGGUCUGAGAGGAUGAGCAGCCACACUGGAACUGAGACACGGUCCAGACUCCUCCGGGAGGCAGCAGUGGGGGAUAUUGGACAGUGGGCGCAAGCCUGAUCCAGCCAUACCGCGUGGGGGAAGAAGGCCUUCGGGUUGUAAAGCCCUUUUGUUGGGAAAGAAAUCCAGCUGGCUAAUACCCGGUUGGGAUGACGGUACCCAAAGAAUAAGCACCGGCUAACUUCGUGCCAGCCGCCGCCGUAA
rnacentral:rRNA from 1 species